GGCGGCGUGGAUAAGACAUGCAAGUCGAGCGAGAUUUUUUCUUGUAGCAAUACAAGGAAAAGUCUAGCGGCGAACGGGUGCUUAACACGUGGGCAACCUGCCGUGAAGUGGGGGAUAGCUCGCCGAAAGGCGAAUUAAUACCGCAUGUGAUUAGAAAGGACAUCCUUUCGAAAUUAAAGUCGGGGCAACCUGACGCUUCUUGUGGGGCCCGCGGCCUAUCAGCUAGUUGGUGAGGUAACGGCUCACCAAGGCUUUGACGGGUAGCUGGUCUGAGAGGACGACCAGCCACACUGGGACUGAGACACGGCCCAGACACCUACGGGUGGCAGCAGUCGAGAAUUUUUGACAAUGGGGGAAACCCUGAUCGAGCGACGCCGCGUGGAGGAUGAAGGUCUUCGGAUUGUAAACUCCUGUCAUUGGGGAACAAGGUGCAUACGUUAACUGCGUGUGUAUUGAUAGUACUC
rnacentral:rRNA from 1 species